AUACUACUCCCUCCGUCCGGAAUUACUUGUCAUCAAAAUGGAUGAAAAUGGAUGUAUCUAUAACUAAAAUACAUCUAGAUACAUCCAUUUCAAUGACAUGUAUAUCCGGACGGAGGAAGUACUUG
rfam:Triticum aestivum genome assembly, contig: Triticum_aestivum_CS42_TGACv1_scaffold_289739_4AL